CGAACGCUGGCGGCGUGCUUAACACAUGCAAGUCGAACGCGAAAGGGACUUCGGUCCUGAGUAAAGUGGCGCACGGGUGAGUAACGCGUAGAUAACCUGUCUUCAUGUCUGGAAUAAUACGCCGAAAGGGGUACUAAUACCGGAUAUUCUUGCUUUUCAUAAGUUAUGCAAGCAAAGGUGGCCUCUGCAUAUGCUACUGCAUGAAGAGGGGUCUGCGUACCAUUAGCUAGUAGGUGGGGUAAUGGCCUACCUAGGCGACGAUGGUUAGCGGGUCUGAGAGGAUGAUCCGCCACACUGGCACUGGAACACGGGCCAGACUCCUACGGGAGGCAGCAGUGAGGAAUAUUGGUCAAUGGGCGGGAGCCUGAACCAGCCAAGUCGCGUGAAGGAAGAAGGAUCUAUGGUUCGUAAACUUCUUUUGCAGGGGAAUAAAGUGCAGGACGUGUCCUGUUUUGUAUGUACCCUGAGAAUAAGGAUCGGCUAACUCCGUGCCAGCCGCGGC
rnacentral:rRNA from 1 species